rnacentral:rRNA from 1 species
GACUUCUGGUUUAAUGCACCUGGCCCGCGGCUCUUUAGGCUUGUGAGUGCCGGAGUGCGUUUACCAUCCUUCUGGGGAACGGGUCUACCCUUAACUGGGCCGGAUUCGGGAUCCAGAUCAUUUACUUUGAAAAAAUUAGAGUGUUUAAAGCAGGCUUUUUGCUAUGAAUACAUUAGCAUGGAAUAAUAAUUUAGGACUUUGGCCCUAUUUUGUUGGUUUCUAGGACUGAAGUAAUGAUUGAUAGGGAUAGUUGGGGGUGCUAGUAUUGGCCGGCCAGAGGUGAAAUUCUUGGAUUCGGUCAAGACUAACUUAUGCGAAAGCAUU